UACCAGCACCCCGAGUGGUCGGGACGAUUAUUGGGCCUAAAGCAUCCGUAGCCGGCCUUACAAGUCCUCCGUUAAAUCCAGCUGCUUAACAGAUGGGCUGCGGAAGAUACUAUAAGACUAGGAGGCAGGAGAGGCAAGCGGUACUCAGUGGGUAGGGGUAAAAUCCUUUGAUCCAUUGAAGACCACCAGUGGCGAAGGCGGCUUGCCAGAACGCGCUCGACGGUGAGGGAUGAAAGCUGGGGGAGCAAACCGG
rnacentral:rRNA from 1 species